rnacentral:tRNA from 2 species
GGGAAGGUGGCCGAGUGGUUAUGGCGCUACGUUUAGGUUGCCGUAUUGGCCCGAUUCCGUAGUUCGAAAGAGCGUGGGUUCGAUCCCCACCCUUCUCA